AGAUCUGUAAGCUCAAAACGGUUGAGCGUCUGAGCCCUUGUGGUUUGGAUAUUGGUGGUUCGAAUCCACCCAGAUCUA
rnacentral:tRNA from 1 species